UUUCCGUCAUAACCAUAUACGUCAAGUGUUUGUGUGGUUUAACUUUCAAACAAUUUCACAGUGGCCAUUUUCUCGAAGCUACUGUAUAGGACUCAAUUGCCACUCUCUUUGGCAAGGACUUCGAUAACGCAAAUACCAUCACCAAUUAUUUCAACAAUUAUGUCCUGUAAGGGGAGAUUCGGAUUUAGGUAAACCGGUUACUUUGUAUAAAUGUGAAAAGAGACAAGAGUUAAAAGACGAAGGUUAACUUUGGAUGGAUGUGGAUGGCAAGCAUUUCUUGCAUAUGUGAAUGUUGGAUGUUAUUAUGUGGCUCGAGUGCCACUUGGUUCUUUGCCAGCCUUCAUAUUCAACUUUGGUGCUAAGGUAUGACAAUAAUAAUAAUUGUUUCUCUGAUAAAUUAAACAUUUAACCUUAUAUAUAACUUUAUGAUGUAAAUUAAAUAUUUAGUGCUCUAUUUAUUACUUUAUCGACUAUAAUUAGCCGAAAAAAAUAAAAGAUUAUUAUAAGAAAAUUUGACCGGUCGGAUGGUAAACGACCUUUGAUUGAAAACAUUAUGCGGGGAAUAUGGAUGGGUCUGGUCGGCGGUAUGACUAUGCAGACGCUUAUUUUACUAUGGGUUACUUUCGAAUAAAUUUGAACAAAGAGUUAUUGUUUUUAAAUAAAAAUUAUUGAACUUAUGGGAUUUUUUUAUACUGAUUCUUCUGAUAAAAGUAAAUAAUUUGCAAAAUAGUUUAUUUUAUGGUUUCACCUUCAAAGGAAAUUAUGGAAUAUCAUACUUUACUGAUUAUAUUUUUAUCAAAAUAUCUUAUUUGAUACAUGUUUAAAAAAAUAAGAUCGACCUGCAAAGGUACCAACCGUUAGCAAUCUAUAAAAUUAUUGAAAAAUUAGUCAAUGAAAUUUCAUGAGAAAACAGGUUCUCGGUAAAAGGCUCUUUUUAGUUAAUAUGGGUUUUGUAUGGCCUUUUAUGAUGAUUCAGUUGGGUUUAUCAAUUCUGAUCGAUAAUGUGUUAAUUUCGGAGUGUUAUCUUACGCUAAUUAUAAUUUGACAAGAAAGAGAUUUAAAGAAAUAAUCAAGCUGAAGUUGAUGCUUCAAUAAGCUCGCUUUGGUGGGACAAUGCGUGAUCGAUAUGCCUCCUACGUAAGCCCAUCUUCUCAUAUGUUAGUUCUUUUUUUUUGUUUUAAUUUGGUUCUGCAAAAAUGCUUUUAUAAGGUAUCUGACCAAAUUUUCUAUAUCAUUGUCUCCUCUAACUUAGUUGUUUUGGUAUUUGUUUAAUAAAGAAACACAUGCUAAUUUGGAAGCUAAGAUGUUGUCCUUUUACGUUAUUAUGAUAUCGUUUACAAGUUCACUUUAAAGCGCUUAAUCAUUGGAGAAGUAUUUGAUGGUUAUAAUGAGGGCUAAACUUGAAAAAAAAAAGCUUAACUAUAUGCCAACAAUUUUAAAACUAAAAAAGCUUUAGAGUACUUUUUCUAUGCUUAUUUCUUAACUGAGACUAUAUUGCAGUAGCGGAUUAGAUUAGAUGUAUUGGGUAAUUCUGUGUGAAUUUGCAAAAAGUAACUUAGAUUAGAUAAUUCUGUGUUAAUUUGUAAAUCAUAUUAAUGUAAAUUUAUACCAAGUUUCCAAUUUUAGGUUGUAUUUUAUUUGUGGUUUUUGUUUAUGUUAAUAAUCGAUGUUUUAUAAUAAUAUUAUACAUGAGGUUAAUAGGUUAUAAGCACCAAAUAUGUUAAUAAUUGAUGUUUGUUCAAGCCUAAGAUAGUCACUUUCUUUUUUAAUUGAUUUCAACAUGUACAGACAUGAAUAUGAUGAAGUAUUUAGUGCUGAUUCACAUUUGUUGACAAAUUUUGGGUAGCCAACUUAGGCUGAAAAAACAUUUCUCUCUCAAAAAAUAUGAUUUAUGGUUAUUACUUAAUGUGCUUGAAUGAAACAUGCAUUAAUGUGUAGGUGAGCAAAAAAUAAUGAUUAACUAGCAAUGUUAAUCUAUAUUAUAUUAAAACAACCCUUUUAGACCUAUUUGUGCGUUGUUGUAUACAUGAUGUGAAAAAAUCCUUGUAGGUCGGUGUUGAAGGCCUGAAGACAUAAGUGGCUCCCACUGUUUCUAGAUCUGGUGAUGCUAUAUUCCCCAACGUUGAGGGUGUGGUAAUGUUUUUGGAUCUGAAAUUGAUUAUUUGUAAGAUAUUUGUACUCGACUUGUGUUUAGAUUUUGAAUUUCUAUCAUGAUUGCUAAACUAUGAUUAUAA